GACGAACCGAGCGAACGUUGUUCGGAAUCACUGGGCUUAAAGGGCGCGUAGGCGGGCUGUCAAGUCUGGGGUGAAAUCCCGCGGCUCAACCGCGGAACUGCCUCAGAUACUGACGGUCUCGAGGGGGGUAGGGGCGAGCGGAACUGAUGGUGGAGCGGUGAAAUGCGUUGAUAUCAUCAGGAACUCCGGUGGCGAAGGCGGCUCGCUGGACCUCUUCUGACGCUGAGGAGCGAAAGCGUGGGGAGCAAACAGG
rnacentral:rRNA from 1 species